rnacentral:rRNA from 1 species
GAUGAACGCUGGCGGCGUGCCUAAUACAUGCAAGUCGAGCGAACAGAUGAGGAGCUUGCUCCUCUGACGUUAGCGGCGGACGGGUGAGUAACACGUGGAUAACCUACCUAUAAGUCUGGGAUAACUUCGGGAAACCGGAGCUAAUACCGGAUAAUAUAUUGAACCGCAUGGUUCAAUAGUGAAAGACGGUUUUGCUGUCACUUAUAGAUGGAUCCGCGCCGCAUUAGCUAGUUGGUAAGGUAACGGCUUACCAAGGCAACGAUGCGUAGCCGACCUGAGAGGGUGAUCGGCCACACUGGAACUGAGACACGGUCCAGACUCCUACGGGAGGCAGCAGUAGGGAAUCUUCCGCAAUGGGCGAAAGCCUGACGGAGCAACGCCGCGUGAGUGAUGAAGGUCUUCGGAUCGUAAAACUCUGUUAUUAGGGAAGAACAAAUGUGUAAGUAACUAUGCACGUCUUGACGGUACCUAAUCAGAAAGCCACGGCUAACUACGUG